GUUACUAACUUAGUUGCUAAAAGAAGUAUAAAAUUGUAAGUAAGAUCAAUGGUAUAAUAAAUAGAUAUUUAGGUUCUAAAUUAUCUCAAGAUUAGAUUGAUUUGAUUAGGCUUUGGUUUAGGAUUUAAGAAUUGAUUACGAUUUAGGAUUUAUUUAGGAUUUAGUUAGGAUUUGACUUAGGAUUUAAAUAAAGAUUAUUAAAAUUUUAACUAGGAUUAAAUUAAGAUUUGAUUGGAAUUAUUUAAGAUAUAUUUUGAAUUUUAUUUUAAUACUUUAUAUGAAUUUCUUUAGAAUUUCUUCAUCCUUCUUUUGUAAUUUCUUUGAGGUUUUUUUGAAUUUAAUUAAAGCUUAAUUAACAUUGUUAAGAUUUAAUUGGAAUUAUUUAAGAUUAUAUUAGAAUUAAAAUC
rnacentral:lncRNA from 1 species